CUUUCCUACGGGACGCAGCAGUGAGGAAUAUUGGUCAAUGGGCGGGAGCCUGAACCAGCCAAGUCGCGCGAGGGAAGACGGUCCUAUGGAUUGCAAACCUCUCUAGGCGGGGAGCAAUGCCGGGCACGCGUGCCCGGAGGGAGAGUACCCGCAGAAUAAGCAUCGGCUAACUCCGUGCCAGCAGCCGCGGUAAUACGGAGGAUGCGAGCGUUAUCCGGAUUUAUUGGGUUUAAAGGGUGCGUAGGCGGAUUUUUAAGUCAGCGGUAAAAUUGAGAGGCUCAACCUCUUCGAGCCGUUGAAACUGG
rnacentral:rRNA from 1 species